rnacentral:rRNA from 1 species
CAGCAGCCACGGGAACACAGAGGUCCCGAGCGUUGUUCGGAUUCAUUGGGCGUAAAGGGUGUGUAGGAGGUCGGGUAAGUCAGGUGUGAAAUCUCACAGCUUAACUGUGAAACUGCGCUUGAUACUGCUCGGCUAGAGGAUCGGAGGGGGUAACGGAAUUUAUGGUGUAGCAGUGAAAUGCGUAGAUAUCAUAAGGAACACCGGUGGCGAAGGCGGUUACCUGGAAGAUUCCUGACUCUGAAACACGAAAGCCAGGGGAGCAAACGGGAUUAGAUACCCCAGUAGUCCCUGUCUCUUAUAC